rnacentral:rRNA from 1 species
GAUGAACGCUAGCGGCAGGCUUAAUACAUGCAAGUCAAGGGGGUAGCAAUACAACCGGCGCACGGGUGAGUAACGCGUACACAACAUACCAUAUACUGGGGUAUAGCUUCGGGAAACUGGAGAUAAUCCCCCAUAACAUUGCGAGAGGGCAUCUGAUUGCAAUUAAAGUUUCGACGGUAUAUGAUUGGUGUGCGUUUGAUUAGCUUGUUGGUAGGGUAACGGCCUACCAAGGCGACGAUCAAUAGCUGGCGUGAGAGCGCGACCAGCCACACUGGAACUGAGACACGGUCCAGACUCCUACGGGAGGCAGCAGUAGGGAAUAUUGGACAAUGGGCGAAAGCCUGAUCCAGCCAUGCCGCGUGAUAGAUGAAGGCCCUCUGGGUUGUAAAUAUCUUUUAUCUGGGAAGAAACUCCUCUAUUCUUAGAGGCCUGACGGUACCAGAGGAAUAAGCACCGGCUAACUCCGUGCCAGCAGCCG